GAGUUUGAUUCUGGCUCAGAACGAACGCUGGCGGUGCGUUUUAAGCAUGCAAGUCGAACGGUAAAAAGAGAGCUUGCUCUCUUUGAGAGUGGCGGACUGGUGAGUAACGCGUGGAUGAUCUACCUUUGAGAUGGGGAUAGCUUCUAGAAAUAGGAGAUAAUACCGAAUAACCUUGUUGUGUUUUGAUGUAACAAGAAAAGGAGCGUCAGCUCCGCUCGAAGAUGAGUCUGCGUCCCAUUAGCUAGUUGGUAGGGUAAAGGCUUACCAAGGCGACGAUGGGUAUCCGGCCUGAGAGGGUGAACGGACACAUUGGGACUGAGAUACGGCCCAAACUCCUACGGGAGGCAGCAGCUGAGAAUCUUCCGCAAUGGACGAAAGUCUGACGGAGCGACACCGCGUGAACGAUGAAGGCCGGAAGGUUGUAAAGUUCUUUUGCAGACAAAGAAUAAGGAUAGAAGGAAAUGACUAUCUGAUGA
rnacentral:rRNA from 1 species